UCGAAAUCCACAGAUAAGUGAUGUUUCAGUUUCUCUUCUUCACAUGCAAAAUCAAACUGUUCGGUUCAGUUUUUGUUGUUGACAUAAUCUACUAAUUUUGCAUUAAUACCGAAUCAAUCUCUCUCAUUUCAUCAUCUAGUUUCCAAGGAAAGAAGAAAAGAAAAGUUUUUCUGUUAGUUUUGUUUUCUCGGAAGAAACUAGAUUCUGACUUUGAUCAACGAUCCUUUAGCUCUAACUCUUUCUGUGUUUACUGGUUAGAUAUGUGUAUACUUUGUUUUAAUGAUCGUUUUCAAUUCAACAGGACGCCAAGGAACAUAUUUCUGUAUUGGCUUCGUCUCUACCAGACAAAAUGGGUUGAGGGCGAUGUGAACAAGGUUACACAUCCAGUUCAUCGACAAGCAAACACAAUGUGAGACUGUUGUUGUUAAUUACGACAGGGACCUUGAGGUCGAGAGUCAACCACUUCUUCAGAGUCUCGUUACGAGACAAAGAAGUCAGAAGUCUUGGUGUCGGUUUUGCUAGAGAGGUCACGAGAUGGUGUUGUCACAAGCAAUAGAAGUCAUGCG